rnacentral:lncRNA from 1 species
AUGGAAGUUUACAAACUGACCAUUCCUCCAUGGACUUCUCUCAGUGCUCCUGUGCAAAACAUAUCUGAGCACUUAUCUGAGAUGCUGCCACUCCUGUCUCUUCUCCCAAUAACCAUUCCCAUCUCUAUACAGAGAAGAAGUCAAUGGCAAGACUCCACCUGGCACAGAAGGGCCACAAUUUUCUGGGCUCUAUCCUCUGUGAAACAGGAGCAAAUUUUUCACAUGACUGAUUAAGAAUGAUUGACUGGCAAUUCCUAACUUAAGGUAGUAUUACCCAUUUGUGUUACAACGAGAAGAUAAGGCUGUACCAGAUACUACUCAAGUCCAAGUGCUUGACCUGGUUCCUAUCCCACACACAGGAUGAGAAUUAUUAUAGCGAUGAUAUUCAGAGGUCCCUGACUAACUAAUAUAUAUAUAUCAGGUUGUUAUAGCUCUGUUACUUAACUCUGCUGUGUUAAAAGGAAGUUUCUAGAAGGGAUACCAUUUUAAUAUGAAAUAGACAAGAUAUUUCUAUUUAUAGGCUUUGUGAUAUCUGUGUAAAACUAUACAUCAACAGAAGUGGAGAUUGGCACAAAAGCUAGUAAGCUCCCUUUAUUAUGCCAAGUAAUUAUGGCAAUAUCAAACACGUGUAAAGCAUGAAUUUGUCCAAUUUUCUGUACUUCCUAUUUAUA